rnacentral:rRNA from 1 species
UAGCGUUGCUCGGAAUUACUGGGCGGAAAGGGCGCGUAGGCGGCCCUGUUAGUCAGGCGUGAAAUUCCUGGGCUCAACCUGGGGACUGCGCUUGAUACGGCAGAGCUUGAGGAUGGAAGAGGGUCGCGGAAUUCCCAGUGUAGAGGUGAAAUUCGUAGAUAUUGGGAAGAACACCGGUGGCGAAGGCGGCGACCUGGUCCAUUACUGACGCUGAGGCGCGACAGCGUGGGGAGCAAACAGG